rnacentral:tRNA from 1 species
UCCGAGGUAGCACAAUGGUAGUGCAGCGCCCUGUUAAGGCGACGGUUACAGGUUCAACUCCUGUCCUCGGAG